rnacentral:rRNA from 1 species
AUCUACCGUCAUGCUACCCUGAACGAGCCCAAGCCAGUCUGAUCUCGGAAGCUAAGCAGGGUGGGGCCUGGUUUGUACUUGGAUAGGAGACCACCUAGGAAUACUAGGUGCUGUAGGUA